CCUAAAAUACAGCAUUCUUUUGGCAUUUGUUCCACACAAGUGAAUAAAGAAACCCACAGCGACAGUUCUUCAGAGUAAACCUCUUGUAUUCAUGAGAAGCAGCUGUGCUCCUGGCUGGGGAGAAAUCGAUUGCCAUGAAGCCAAGGUAUUUGCAUAUGAACUGAAAAGGUGGAUUCUAUUGAUGAAAACCAGGCCAAUGAAACAUCCUUUUAUUAAACCCCCCCCCCUCAUUUCUGCAAACACUACCAAGGGGAAGGUAGUUGAGGCGGGAACCGCCUCAAAUAUAUUAUCUCCUGAGUCUCCCGUUUGAAAGGAGUACAAGUAGGCUUUUGAACUACCGGUCGUUCUACAUUUCUUAUCUUUAUAGAACCAACACAGCUACUAAAUCUCUGACUGAAACCAUCAUUCUAAUGAAAUGAAACACAAUUUUACGCAGCACAGCAGGUUUUCCACUGAGACACAUUUACAAACUCUCUAUAAAGCUUCCUCAUUUUAAAUAUACCAAAUCACAAAAACGCAAAUGGAAAGUGAAAAGAGUGGGAAAGAAAGGGGAAAGGGCGGCUACACAAUUGGUGUUAUCCCCCUUAAAUCAUACUCAAGAGUAAACCCCUGAAAAUAAUUUGAUUUACUCUGAAUAUGACUAAUAUUGGUCAAUCCAAGAAUAGUCCCCUCCCCUUAAAAUUGUGAUUUGAGGAAUCAUAGAAGGGGUGGAGUGUGUGGAGACUGUAGGUAAUUCAGUUUAUCUACAAGAUAGAGCUGGAGUAAUAACAUUUAAUCUGCCAAAUGAUGACGUCUCCCAACAGAUUUUUAUCAAAUGAUGAGAUUUAACAAGUUGUCUAUGUCCUUGAUUCUAGCGUUUGGCUUUUCUUACAAAAAGGCCAUCUUUGUCGGUUUGUAACAUUCCACAGCACACUAAUUCAUUUAAUUCAAAGAAAUGCUACUGGUUUUGAUGGUAUCACUCAUCAGUCAAUGGGUGUGGGCUGCGUAUUAACUAGGAAAUCGAGAUCUGGUGUAGUAUAGUUGUUUUCUAAUUUUGCCUCUGUCAUGAAUUUGUGCAAUGUAAGGGCACCUUUUUUUUUUUUUUUUUUGGCCCAGGUACAGUCAUACCUCAUGUUACGUUUGCUUCAUGAUACGUUUUUUCAGGUUGCAUCCCGUGGUGACCCGGAAGGGUUACUUCCAGGUUUUGCUGCUUGCGUAUACGCAGACACGCAAAAUGACGUCACGUGCAUGCGCAGAAGUGGCGAAUCGCAUCCUGCAAGUGCGCAGAUGCGCCGAGAAGCAGGUUGCAUUCUAUUCAUGUUGUGAACGGGCCUCCGGAACGGAUCCUGUUCGCAACCAGAGGUACCACUGUACAUUCUUUCUUGAUUGGGCGCUCUGCCCUGCUCACAAAAGAGGGCACAGAUUUGCAUACAUGCUGUGCCAUAGGUAAAUUUUCAUUUACCUAUGGCAUAGCAUGUAUUCAUUUGCAAAGCAUGUACUCUUAAGCUACAGCCCCUCCCACUAAAAAUUAUACAAUAUAGUUGGGAAAUAUUGCAAUAAUAAUUUAUAACAAUAUUAUAACAUUCAUAUAAACAUGUUAGAAUCAAGCAAAAAUAAACGAAAACUUACACAGGAACAAAAAUUAACAUUGUGCAACUGCCUACAAAUACUAUGACGUUAGGUAUGCUCCCCACUCUGUCUCAAUUCUUCAUAAGUAAAAUGGGUCUGCCUUUAAGAAGGGGUGGGGGUGGGAAUAAGGAUAGGGGAGAUCAGGAGUACAAAGUGCUUCAAACACCCAUAGAAUUAUAGAGUUGGAAGAGACCACAAGGGCCAUCGAGUCCAACCCCCUGCCAAGCAGGAAACACCAUCAGAGCACUCUGCUGUGGAUGUUACCCCUGAAGCUGGUUUGGAAGCAGCAGCAGAAUUCUAUAGCCAAUUCCAAGCAUUGGCUACUAAUAUAACAACUGUGUUGAAGAAACUGCACUGGUUGCCAGUAUGCUACCAAGCCAUCUUCAAGGUAUUACAAUUAGUAUAUAAUAAAGCCUUAAAGAACCUGAAGCCACUGUACUUAAAAGACCACCUUAGUCCUAUACCUUGCAAUGAGCUCACUUGCCAUGGGUUAGUACAAUUGAUCUUCGACUGGCAACAACACAGAUUCAAACCAGGCAUGGUAUUUCAGAAGACAGGGAUGGUCAUAAGAUUUGCAGCAGCCAAGUAUCAGGUGCCCAUGCUUGGGUAAAUUCAAGAUUAAAUUGUUAAAAAUGAAGCAGUGUAUUCUAAGAGCACUUGUGGUGGCUAUUUAUUAUUUAUACCUCCUAAUAACUGCAGCAAUGUUAUCAGCAAAGGUCAAAAAAUUGCAUCUCUCUCUGUUCCUUUUCUGAGCAAAAAGGAUUCGAGCCUUUGACAUUAGCAUACCCGUUUUAGUGUUUAUAGCAGCAACAGCAAUACAAAUGGUCUGAAAAUAUCUAGAAUUUUGCAGUUUAAAUGUACAGCCCACCUAGGUUUGAUGGGGCUCUCUUUUAUGACUGUGUGGAAUGGUUAGCGCAGGAUGUGAAUAAAUGUAGGAACUACAGGGGUGUCAUAAUAGGAAGAAAGAUGUAUUUGAUAGUUCUAACAGAUAAUGCCAAAGGGAGGCAACAAAAGAAAGAGGCUGGGAGAUUGUAGCGCAUAAAGGGAACAAUGCCAAACCUUUAUCAAAGUAAGGCCUAACUAGUUAAGUACCAUGAUUUAGCAGAAGCAAAGAGGUUUCUCUGUGUCAUAGAAUAAAUGGGUGGGCCUUUUCCCACACUUCCCUCACCUAGCUGCAGUUUGGGAAAACAGUAGCCAGAGUUGUAUGAGUGAGCUGAAAGAGCAGACUGGAAGCUGAAGAAACAGAGACAUGUUUGCUUUAUGCUGGACUUUGGGUCUCUCCUAGAAACCUAAAGGGGAAGCAAAAUCUUUGGGGAUGUUAAUGCUGUGAGCCUCUCCAGCCUAUGUUCUUGUUGUAUAUACAGUGGUACCUCUGGUUACGUACUUAAUUGGUUCCGGAGGUCCGUACUUAACCUGAAAUUGUUCUUAACCUGAAGCACCACUUUAGCUAAUGGGGCCUCCCGCUGCCUCUGUGCCGCCGGAGCAUGAUUUCUGUUCUGCUUCAUCCUGAAGCAAAGUUCUUAACCUGAGGUAAUAUUUCUGGGCUAGUGGAGUCUAUAACCUGAAGCGUAUGUAACCUGAAGCGUAUGUAACCCGAGGUACCACUGCAUGUGCAAAUGAAACCAUAUGUCCUAAAGACACCACAGUCCCUCUUGACCUUCAUUCUAAGGAAGCUGAACUCUGGGUAAUCACUAGAGCCCCUGGAGUCUCUCAUCUCUCAGAGAUUGGGUUGACGUGUUAACAAUACAUUUGAGUUUUGCACUUUGUCUGUGACAAGGUGUUUGGCAAAUCUUUCCUGGUAUCUUACAUAUGUUUGCACCUCAAGUAAUGUGUGCCCUUCUUUCUCUUUGGCUGCUUUACCUUUCAGUAGUGUUCUGUGUUUUUCGGUCCCAGUGGGACACCAAGUGGGCACACAGAGAACUGCAGGAAAAUAAAUUAACAACCCAAAAUUAUUUCUUUAGAUGCAAGGAACACAUUUUGGAAAACCCUGUUGGGUUUUUCCAGCGUUAUGAUUAAAUAUUUUGAAGCAGUUGCACAAUGAACAAUUAGCUCUUAUAUAUGUGAGUGUGGGUAUAUAUAGAGAGCUAUACGUAUAUGUUCAUUUUCUUUCCAGGACGGGGACUGGGUUAGUAGUGUUGCAAAGUAGCUAGUAUUUAAAAGUUACCUUGCCAUUGGAGACGAUGCAGCCAUCCAUGGCUUCUCUUGCCCUGCUCCUCAUUGUUCCAUUCACCCUCCCUGCUUGCAGGCUAGGAGGAGUUAUGCAACCUAGCAAACACAGUGCUUUGGGAAGAGAAUUGGCUCAUGUUUAGCAGCUUGGGGCCACUUUACUUGCAGAAUUUCCUUACCUCCAGUGGCGUAGCGUGGGGGGUGCAGGGGGGGCCAGCCGCACCGGGCGCAACAUCCGGGGGUUAGGGUUAGGGGGCGCAAAUCCACGGGUUAGGGGGCGCAAAUUACUUGCCUUGCCCCGGGUGCUGACAGCCCACGCUACGCCACUGCUUACCUCAUAUGUGCCCACUCAGUGACUUCAAUCUGGCAAACUGGUAUCAGGGCUGGAGCAGCCAUUAGGGAUGAAGGCACUGUCUCAGGUUGCAGAAGCUCCUGAGGUGGGACCUCCAGUGGAGAAGCAGCUCCGGAAAUCAGCACUGAUGCUGGUGGUGCUUCUUUGGCAAUGGCAACAGCUGUGCAGGCAGUGGCAGCAGGGCAGCACUUUCCAUUUCUCCUCAAGCCACCACUGCCUGGCAUUGUUACAGGUGGCACAUACUUGUUUCACAUCGAUAAGAAAUCAGUAUUUUAGUGCGGCAGCACCUACAAUUUGGAACUCCGUGCCUAUGCACAUCAUUGAAGGGUGUCGGCACAUACCUUUGAAUAAUGACUGGUGGCGAGGUUUUAUUUACACAUAUAUCCAGGCUGAACAUUCCAACAGUUGUUUCUCCCUGAUUAGGUUUCUGGAUCGUCUUACCUAAAGUCAUAGCUUUGUUUUCAGUAGUCAUUUCUUUGUUUUCAAAGCAAGCAUCUGUGUAUUCCCAAUUUUAGGUGAGAUUAGACAAGGCUGGCCCCUUGCCUGUUGUUUUUCCCUUAGGACAGUGUUUCUGGGCAGGUGCACCAGACUCUGAGCUUUUAAAAAAGUAAGUCUCUAGCCCUCCUAGAAAGUAAGUUGUGGGCCAAAAUGUGCAGAUACAUUUGUGUGAAAUUAGUGUGAUUGUGGUGUGACCAUCUUGUGUAUUUUCCCUGGUACUGAGGAAUGCUUCUUGUUGCUAUUAGACAGCAACAGGAUCAGUGUUUGUGUGUAUGUGUAAAAUCUAUACUAAUUGAUCUCCACAGUCAGGAUCUGCAGGAUAUAGCUGACUUCCCAUGGUAAGUGUAAGGUUGCCAGGGCUGACUGUCUCUCUAAUUUUGUGUUAUUACACUCCCCAUGGCAGCCAUUUUGUGUUGUGCCCCUCCUCUCCUAACCUAUUUUGUGACUGGCAUCCACAGCUUUCUCUCAAAAUUGAAAAUGUGUCCGCUGGUUGAAAAAGAUUGGUGGUUCCUGCCCUAAGAUGACUGGGCAAUUGUCCUUCUAACCCUAGGAUGGUGUGGCCUCCAGCCUGGUGAUUGGGGAGGGAGGGGAGGGCCUCCAAAAUCUUUCUCCAAAAUGAUAUCUCAUUAAAACAUGAUAAAAUAAUUUUAGUAUGAUUAUAUUUAGUAUUAUUGGCCAGUUAAGUUUAUAGUGCUCAUGUAAUUCUGUUGGAAAACAUAGAACUAGUUGUGGUAAAUCAAUUAGGUAAAGGGAUCCCUGACCAUUAGGUCCAGUCGUGGCCGACUCUGGGGUUGUAGCUAGCGCUCAUCUCGCUUUAUUGGCCGAGGGAGCCGGCGUACAGCUUCUGGGUCAUGUGGCCAGCAUGACUAAGCCGCUUCUGGCGAACCAGAGCAGUGCACGGAAACGCCGUUUACCUUCCCGCCGGAGCGGUACCUAUUUAUCUACUUGCACUUUGACAUGCUUUUGAACUGCUAGGUUGACAGGAGCUGGGACCGAGCAACGGGUGCUCACCCCGUCGUGGGGAUUCGAACCGCCGACCUUCUGAUCGGCAAGCCCUAGGCUCUGUGGUUUAACCCACAGCGCCACCCGCGUCCCUGGUAAAUCAAUUAAGUGUUAAUAUUUACAGAAGCAUAACUUGGGGUGAGAGAAAGGAGCAGCAAGUCAACAUCCUGCCCCACUCUGAGGCGGGACACAUUUGGCUUGAGGAACUGUGUUGCUGCUCUUUGUGUCAAGAUUAAAAAGAAUCAAGCAAUUGUUUUAAAAAUAGAGACCUGAACUUUAUAUGUUUGUUGAAUUAGAGCGUUAAUAAUAGAUAGCACUUACAUUCUGCUGUGGUAUGCUGUUUACAUUGGCUGCUGAAAAAUUCUACUGUAGUAGAAACUGCAUAGAUGGAUGGUAUUUUACUCUGAAAUGAUUCCUGGUUGCUCCUUCCUUUUCGUAGUGUCACUAGGUUUAUGAAAUGACUUUACAAUGUCAACAAGAAGGCUAGCAAGUAUGUACAGGGUGAGUCUUUUAAAAGAGGCUCCGUGGAACAUGUGUACUCUGUAUCCACGGGGCCUCUUUUAAAGGACUCACCCUGUAUAUGCAUGUUGACCUUUUGCAGCCGUGCACUGGAUGCUAUUUUUCAAGAUAUCCCUUAUAUAGUGAGAUUGGAGGGGUGUAGGCUGUAUACUGGAGUUCCUUCUAAUUCAUGGAUCCAGCAAGGAUUCAAUUGCUGGAAUAGCCCUGAAAAUUUAUUGGCAAUAGCUUAAGCAUGUUUUGUUCAGGUAAAAAGGGUUGUUGCGUUGCUCUGUGCCAGAGGCAAAUGGGUGAGCCUCUCUUCCCUCAAAUGUCUGUUAGUUAGAAAGAAAGACAAAAGCCAGACUUGAGGUUUGUAUGAGGUAGAAACGAGAAGCAGGCUAGCCAGCCGAGAGAUUGAGACAUGCCUGAUUUCUGCUGGAAUCCAAGGCUGAGGCCAUGGGAGAAACAAUACUUUCUUGGGGUGUUAAUACCAUAGCUGUCAACUUUCAGAUUUGAAAAUAAGGGAUCAGCAGCCUCACCUGUCCUGGGGAUAGUCUAUGGGAUAUCUAACAAUCUGGGAUAGCAGCGGGAAGCAGCAGGAAACAGCGCUGGAAUAAGGGAAUUUCCCGCAAAAAAAAAGGGAAGGUUGACAGCUAUGGUUAAUGCUAUGAGCCCCUCAUAGAAUUAUGGAAUUGUAGAGUUGGGACUUUAUUAUUAUGAUAAAUAAAUCAUAUAUUAUAAAGACACCACAGCAGGGGUGCCGGGUAUAGGGACUGCAAGGGACUUCUGCCACCUUAAUAUUUUGAGGCAGGGGGCUGUGCCCUCCAAUACUGAGGGGGGCAGUCAUCCCCCGCCACCCCUGGGUGAGUGUUGGUUUGCAGGGCGUGGGGUAGGAGGCUUGGAGGGCGAUUUUCACCCUCUGCACACACACACCUGCGAUAACUAGUGCAUCCCAGCAGGCAUGGCUCAACAUUAGGCAUGCAUGACCGCCCCCCCACCAACGUUGGGCCUAACUCAGUGCACCUGCACCAAAGUUUCUGCUGUUCCUCAUUCCAAGGAAACUGAGCCUUGGGUAAGCGCCUGGAACCCCUGGAAUCUCACACGGCUUGGAGAUUGGGGUGGCAUGCAACAAUAGGCAUGUGCGUGUGCCAGAACAAAAUCCAGCAAAACUCCUGUGCUGAGUGCAUAUUCCUUAAAAGUAUGCCUGUGUAUGUGUAAUAUAUUUAGAUACAUGUGCUUAUACACACACACACAUAGAGCGAGGAUGGAAAUGCUGCAACACUUAAAUAAAUCCAUGCUUCCAUUAAAUCCAUUAAAUUAAGCCAUGGUACCACAGCACUAAUAUCGGACAUAAGCAUUUGCACAGCUCUUAAAAGGCACCAGGCAGAGGUUUAUUUCUGAUCUUAGCAUUGUGGGAUAAGCCUCUGCUGCAGCCUUUUACUAUGAAAGAGCAAGCAGAGACUGAUCUCUGAUGUUAGUGUUGUAGUUCCCAGCACAAUGCCAGAGAUAAGCCUCUGCUGGCUUGAUAAAAAGAAAAGGCAGGAUAUAUAUAUGUAUAUAUAUAUUAUACACACAUACAAUCUUAGCACUGUGAGACUACUGUACUGAUAGCAGAGAUAAACCUCUGCUUGCUCCUGUGGCUUUAACUUUGAAUCUCUUGGUAUCAUAUGACAUCACUUGAAUGACAUGUGUAGCUCCACCUACUUGUCAAAAUAGUCCAUGGAUUUCUGGAUUCUCCCUUCAGUUAGGGCCUUUUAUUUCCAAAGAAUAGCCAUUUAUUUCAAUUGUUAUUGAACCACACUACAUAUUGGCUUACUGGUAGCAGAGUUAUGUAGCUUUUAUACAUCUGAGUGUUUCUUAGAGCUGAUCACAUUUUUAUGUGAUAAGCUUUCCCAUUAAGAUGAUGCCUAUUUGAAAAUUAAAAUUGAUUAGAAACAAUUCUUUUCUGUAUAUUCAUUUUCUUAUGAGAAAUUUCUAGUGAAUUCAUUAGAUGUAAGUCUUGCCAAAGAGAAAUGGUUUGGAUUAUGUGCACUUUGAGAAGAAUCAGCGAAGAAAAGAAAUAACCAAGUAUUUGGCAUAAUGGUGCAGUUUAUGUUAAGCCGUUAUCAAUGUGUGAUGGAAUACUUUACCGUUAGUUCUUCCUUCCACACAGCUGACUUUAUAGUCUCCCCUUUUCAGAAGCAAAUUAGCAUCAGCAUCAAUAGUGAACUUUGUGGUCUUGUGCCUAUAGCAAGGUAUUGAAAUAAGGCCAGCCAUAGAUGCCAAUCCCGUCUUUCCAGUUCUCCUAGCUUAAAGAGUAUUUUUCUUUGUUGUUCUUUUCCAUUUCAACUUUUAAUUUGGAUUUCUGAGUGACUGUAGGAAGAAGUCUAUAAUUCAUAUAUUUUUAGUUAGUUGGCUGAGAGAGGCUUUGCUGAGUGAUGAACUCCAAAGCCAACACUCCAAAACCAUCCAAGUAACAUGUUCUGUGUCAGCAGAAGGAUUUCUGCUUGCGCAAUGGAAUUCUCUGCCCUGAAUCUGUUGUAGGGAGGGUUGGGUGUGGAGUGCGCAAAGGAAGAGUUAGUGGGAAGAACUGUUGUGCAAGAGGAAAUCCUUGCACUGAUAGAACAUGUGAAGUGGAUACCUCCCCUUGUUUCUUUACCUCCAUGGAAUUAAUAGAACUUUCCCCUUGCUUGCUUUAUUACCCUCAAGUAUGCUGGCCACUGCAGCCUUGGUCUGCUUCCUCUGCUAAGGUGAAAAAGGUGCCAAGAGAAGGUCACACCAUAGAAAGUGGAGUUUAGAAGUCUCAGGGGGUGAUAGAGUGGAGUUUUGCCUCCAAGGCUGUCCUGAAGCAGCAGCACUUACAGCAACACAUCCAGAGAGGUGCCUGUCACCAUGACUCAUAACUGGAACUGGAGACACUGUUAUUAACAGCCAGCAUUGGCAAACAUCCAGAGGGCACCGUGUUAGCUACCCCUGCUGCUAUAUCAGGUUCACUUUUGCAUUGGAGUUUGUCAGUUUCUUAUGCUGCUCUCCCCACCCUUCUAUAUACAGAGUCAUACCACCCACCAAAAGGCUUCAUAGUAAUGUGUCCUAAUGUGCUCAGGUGGUAUGAAACUAUCAGUUUAGAAGGCCAGGCUGAAAAACCAAUUAGCUUCUCAUGAGAUCUCCCUUAAGCAGUAGUCCUGAAGGAGAUAGCAAUACAGUACAGGCUUUAGCUUAUGCUGGGGUUACAUUCUGGGGAUAGCACUUAAAGCCAAAACCAUGUAUCGUAAAAAAAGUCUAUUUUCUUGGACGCCAGACCCCUUUCUAUUUAUUUAUUUUUUAAUUCCCAAGCGAAUAAAGCUGAAUACGUUCAAGUUAAAUCCACAUAAAUUGUGAGUUACAACAAAAUGUAUGUGAAAAUGCACUGUGUCCAGGGCUGGAUUUAGGUUUGAUGCGGCCCUAAGCUACUGAAGGUAAUGGGGCCCUUUAUAUGUCCAGAUGUCCUUUGUCAACAACAAAUUGUCAUAUAUUGAAUAUAUGCUAUAUGGUAAUUUAUAUGGUAAUUUAUGAACCUAAUAGGUAUCUAAAGCCAUUUGCACAUAACAAAAUAUGUAUUUUAUCAAAGUAAUUGUUGAACUGAAAUACAAUUAAGAUUAAGGUUUGUUUUUUAUCUUAUAUUUUGGAAAUGAACAUCCAGGUUUUUUUCCUUUAAUUUUUUGGGGCCCCUCCAAGAGAGUGAGGCCCUAAGCUAUAGCUUGUUUAGCUUAUAUGCAAAUCUGGCACUGACUGUGUCUUGUUGCUUCUCCAAGUAGUUCUCAGCUAGGGUACAGUAUUCUAAAUACUGGGGUAUGAAUUGGGGCUUCUAGGUCCAAUAUCAAAGACCAGAAGUGGCUCCAAACUCUGUCCUCUGAUGUAAGGGAAGGCUGAGAUCAUACUGAAGGUUGUGGUCUUCUACAGUGUUCCAUACAUAAUAUAUCCACAGGAAAGUUUUCAUGUGAGCCAGUACAAAAGUAAAAGAACAGAGACAGCAAUUUCUUUCUUUCUUUUUAAUUAUUCCUUCAUAUUCAAACUUCACAAACAGUGUGAACUUGUACAAUACCUCAGAAAGUGAAACUUACAAAAAAAGUGCUGGUAACAUUAAAAAAAAGAAAAAAGAAAAACCCAAAAUAACAAACAUCAUUCUUAGCAACAUCGAUUACUCUUCCACACAAAACAGAAACCUUGUAAAAUUUAUUUCCGUAUCUUUAAGGCGUAAUACUUCCGUAUAAAGUAUAUGCAAGAGAUAAAACUUCACAGUAUUCCAAAAUGUCACAAUAAUAAUAAUAUAGUAUAAUGAAGCGCUACAGUUAAUUUUAUUUUUUUCCUUUUUUCUGUUUUAAAUAACAAAUACAAGUCACAGGUAAAUAUACGUGAGAAAAAUACGAGGCUAAUAUUAAAUGGCAGGUAAGGAUACUCUCACUGUAAGAAAAAACUGGCAGGAUGUGUGUAGUUAUUCUAUAUUUUAAAGCACUUGAUAGAAAAGGCGUAUGCAAGGUUUUUAAAAACAAUUCUCAGUUUACUUGCUUUAUAACUGACAUACCAUUUACAGAGUAAAAUGAGAGAAAAAAAAGGAACUCAGUAUUCCCUCAAAACUUUUGACCUGCUCGUCUCAUUUUCUUAAACCAUGUUGCACUGUAUAAAGGUGUGUUUUUGUGUUUAUGUAUAAGUACACUUACAGCCACUACAACACACUUUGGAUUAGGCAGAAACUAGUAUCUCCAGGAGAAGUAUCUUUGCUCAAAAGGGAUCUUGUUUUGAAGCCUUUACAUUUGGAAAUCAUUGUUUUAAUUUAUGUAAAGACUGCAGGAUUAGUCUUCAACGUAGUUUUUCCCAUUCACUCAGUUACUAAUGAUUUUGGGGACAUUUCUUUGCCCAAUGUAUGAAAUUAUCCAGUCCUCAAACAUAGAGAAAUUCUAAUGCUUUAAAAAAGCAUACUAAAAAAGCAGAAAGAUAGGGCAAGUUUUGAAAUCAGCACUGGAAUCAUACAUUAUAUAGUCAACCCUUCAAAAUGCUGGACCAAGGAAUGGGAAAACAUGGGUAGAAGUUCACUUAAUAGAAAUAUCACUGUUGUGUGUUUGCAUGUGUGCAAGUGUAUUGUCUUGUAUGAUGGCUUGUAUGUGUGGAAUGCUGUGGACACACGCAAGUCAUACCUUGCUCCUGCACACAUUUGUAUAUGUUAACAGCCAGCCAUUCAGCUAACAGGUAACAGAAAGACAGCAGAUAGCAUAACACAUCAAUAAGGUGCUCAAAGGAAAAAGGGUGGCUACCACUCUUGGAAUGGGAAGCCACAUUAAGGUGCUUCAAAAAGGUUUUUUUUAAAAAAAACAAACAACUACAUUUAGUUCAGAAAUGUACAGAUUUUUGCACAUAGUGAUUGAGAGCAAGGCCAAAAGUUAAGAGAUUUCUGACAUCUUCCAUAAACAGGGGCUUUUUUGUUACAGGUUUUGUUACUUUUUUGUUGGGUGGGUCAGUGAACAAAAAAACUAAUCAAAAAGUGCAGAACCCGAACUGUGUCGUUUAGAUUGUAAUAGUUUUUGCCCAAUCAUUCAGUUGCUUUCAUUUAGCACCGUUCCUUUUUCUUCCGGUUACAAUCCGUUCCUACUGUAGUUAUUGUACAUACAGAAAGGACCAAGUUACUUGCAAGUAGCUGUUUGUAUUUGUGAUCUGUUUCAAGAGUCCAACUAUUAUUCAUCUGCUGCUUCUGUGUUUGUGAAAAAUCUGGUUUUGUAGCUGUGAAAAGGGAGGCUAAUCUCCUCUCACACUUCCAGCUUUGUGUGUAUGUGUGAAUACAUAUCUGUAACCCCAUCACACAUGAGAGUAUAUUAUAACUGGAGAUAAAGUGAACUGGGUUCAGACAUUAGUGCACUAUCUUUCCCCUGUGCAUUUGAAACAGUCUCCAACUUUUUUUUUUUUUUAAAGUGCAUUUAACAUGAAAUAAAUUGGGCAUUUAUGUGCCCUUUGGAAAACACUUCAGAAGCGAAAAAUGUCUGACUUGUGUAGAUUUAGAAACGCCAAUAGUGAAUGGGUAAUAGUAAGAUCAAAUAGGCAGAUGUUCUCAGACAAUUAAUGUCUUUUCCAAUAUAGCAACACCAUGAGUGACACAAAAAGGUGGAAGGGAUUUGUUUUGAAUUUUGGCAUUUUGACUUUUUUGAUAGAAUGAAUUUGGACUAACAACAACAGCAACAACAACAACCUGCCCAUCCGGCUAGAAUAGUUUGUUCAGAGCUUCAGUCACUUCUCCCCUUUCAUCUGUGCCGAUGUGACAACUUGGAAUCUGACUUAGUUAGAUUUAAAAGAGGACCUGGGUGCUUAUGUGCCAACAUCUAUUAGGAAUAAGGCACUGUAGAAAUCUCAGCAUCCUCUUUUUCUCAACGCUGAGAUAUUGCAUGUUAUAUAGUUAAUUCUUCUAUUUCGCAUGUGUCAAAAACAGGUUCUGGAAAAGGAAUUUAAUCUUUUGUCUUAUCAGCACCAAAGAGCUCUAGAUCAGCACCCUUUGUCUCUACACACAUGCAC